GAAGAAUGUGAGUGUUAUGGUUUUAUGAACUUAUUUUGGGCGUCAUUUUGCAAUGUUGUUGAUGAUGAUGCUGGUGUUGUUGAUAAUGGUGUUGUUGAUGGUGAACAUGAUACAUUAUGUUUUUCACAUUGUUGGUACAAAUUGAUGGUUUGGUAGAUUUUUAUACAGGGCGAUCUCACCGAGUGCUGUCCGAUUUGACAAAUCUUAUUUGGUGAUCCUGUUCGAAGAUUCACAUUAAACAAAUAAUUUGUUGGUAAUAAUAUUGAUAAGGUACCCUCACAGCAAUUGGAAAAAGUAGUUUAUGCAUUUUAUUUUCAUACGUCAAUACUAAAUAAUAUUAAUUACAUUUUAUGUCAUCACUUAUGUUUUAUUUUCUCUAUUGGAUCUAUUUGUAAUCUUAUUAUGUAUACUUACAUUAAAUUUUUGAAUAUAUUGAAAAUAUAUAAUUUAAUAUAGUUCACAAAAUAACUA